rnacentral:rRNA from 1 species
UGGGGAAUAUUGCACAAUGGGCGCAAGCCUGAUGCAGCCAUGCCGCGUGUAUGAAGAAGGCCUUCGGGUUGUAAAGUACUUUCAGUCGGGAGGAAGGUGUCAAGGUUAAUAACCUUGGCAAUUGACGUUACCGACAGAAGAAGCACCGGCUAACUCCGUGCCAGCCGCCGCGGUAAUACGGAGGGUGCAAGCGUUAAUAGGAAUUACUGGGCGUAAAGCGCACGCAGGCGGUUGAUUGAGUCAGAUGUGAAAUCCCCGGGCUUAACCCGGGAAUUGCAUCUGAUACUGGUCAGCUAGAGUCUUGUAGAGGGGGGUAGAAUUCCAUGUGUAGCGGUGAAAUGCGUAGAGAUGUGGAGGAAUACCGGUGGCGAAGGCGGCCCCCUGGACAAAGACUGACGCUCAGGUGCGAAAGCGUGGGGGGCAAACAGG